rnacentral:rRNA from 1 species
GAUCCUGCUCAGGAUGAACGCUAGCUACAGGCUUAACACAUGCAAGUCGAGGGGAAACGAUAUCGAAAGCUUGCUUUUGAUGGGCGUCGACCGGCGUACGGGUGAGUAACGCGUAUCCAACCUGCCCAUCACUUGGGGAUAACCUUGCGAAAGUAAGACUAAUACCCAAUGACGUCUCUAGAAGACAUCUGAAAGGGAUUAAAGAUUUAUCGGUGAUGGAUGGGGAUGCGUCUGAUUAGCUUG